rnacentral:rRNA from 1 species
UACGGAGGGUGCAAGCGUUAUCCGGAUUUACUGGGUUUAAAGGGUGCGUAGGCGGGCCCUUAAGUCAGUGGUGAAAGCUCCGAGCUUAACUCGGAAACUGCCAUUGAUACUAUAGAUCUUGAAUUCGGUCGAGGUUGGCGGAAUGUGUCGUGUAGCGGUGAAAUGCUUAGAUAUGACACAGAACACCGAUUGCGAAGGCAGCUAGCUAGACCGACAUUGACGCUGAGGCACGAAAGCGUGGGGAUCAAACAGG